UGGGGAAUAUUGCACAAUGGGCGCAAGCCUGAUGCAGCCAUGCCGCGUGUAUGAAGAAGGCCUUCGGGUUGUAAAGUACUUUCAGCGGGGAGGAAGGGAGUAAAGUUAAUACCUUUGCUCAUUGACGUUACCCGCAGAAGAAGCACCGGCUAACUCCGUGCCAGCAGCCGCGGUAAUACGGAGGGUGCAAGCGUUAAUCGGAAUUACUGGGCGUAAAGCGCACGCAGGCGGUUUGUUAAGUCAGAUGUGAAAUCCCCGGGCUCAACCUGGGAACUGCAUCUGAUACUGGCAAGCUUGGGUCUCGUAGAGGGAGGUAGAAUUCCAGGUGUAGCGGUGAAAUGCGUAGAGAUCUGGAGGAAUACCGGUGGCGAAGGCGGCCCCCUGGACGAAGACUGACGCUCAGGUGCGAAAGCGUGGGGAGCAAACAGG
rnacentral:rRNA from 1 species